rnacentral:lncRNA from 1 species
CUCCUACUCUGCCCCAGUGCACAGCUAAACUGGCAGCUGGUGGUCAUGUGUGGGGAGUCCUCACUGGUUUGGUCUCCUGGUCACAAGUGGGCAGAGUGAGCCGGACUCUAACUUAGUUUGCUCCAAGCUCUUCUUGUACAUUUCCAUUCCCAGAUCAAUAAUCUGUACUUUCAGGGGAUGAAGGAUGCACAGGUAAUGGGGGAAAAAAUAAGAACCAAGAUACAUCAUGUACAGGUACAAGCACCCAAUGAUAAAUGUAAACAUAUUGUAUACCUAGAAUGUACCAGUAAAAGAAUUAAAAAAAUUAAUCUGUACUUUCUUCAGGAAGCUCUGGUUCAUUUUAUUGGAGAAUAGAAUAGAAACUAAUUUCUAGAUACUAAUGGUGCUAGUUGUUACUAAGUUAUAUUCCCAUGUUGUCUCUCAGCUCUAAGGACAAGAAUGUAUACAUGUAUAUACUAACCUCUGUUCUACAUAUAUGUGUAAAUAUUCCUAUCAGUAGCCAUUUCUGUAUUUAUUAAAUUAAACAUGAGUUCAUGGUGUUGGCUCCAAUUACAGCCCCUUAAAAUUGGGAGCAUUCAAGCUUCAUUUUGCUAACCUGUAAAUUCCCACUCUAACAGUGCAAAAUCUGGGCAUCCAGUUGUACAACUUGUUACUUGUUUACUUUAUUUUAAAUUUCAGUGCACAUUCAUAGUCGUGUCAUGACUGUUAGCUUGUACUGCCAUGGGACACAGCUCUGUGAACUAAAAACAGGACUGAUGCAGAGUUCUUUGUGCCUUUAGUCUUACAGAUUCCACUCUUUUCUAAUGUUACUUAGGUCAUUUCCUUUCUCCCAUUCUCUUCCUUUAGGUCCUUCCAUACAUUUGAAAUAUGAUUACAUUGUCUUGUCACAGUCUGCAUUCUUUCCAGGAAUUCCCUUACCUCCUAAAUAAUUUAUUAAAAUUUUCAUACAUCAUAAUUUGUUCCUUGUGCUUUAAUGCACUGUAGAUUGUGACAAUGUGUAAUGAC